rnacentral:rRNA from 1 species
UGGGGAAUAUUGCACAAUGGGCGAAAGCCUGAUGCAGCAACGCCGCGUGAGUGAUGAAGGUCUUCGGAUUGUAAAGCUCUGUCUUUUGGGACGAUAAUGACGGUACCAAAGGAGGAAGCCACGGCUAACUACGUGCCAGCAGCCGCGGUAAUACGUAGGUGGCGAGCGUUGUCCGGAUUUACUGGGCGUAAAGGGUGCGUAGGCGGAUGUUUAAGUGAGAUGUGAAAUACCCGGGCUUAACUUGGGUGCUGCAUUUCAAACUGGAUAUCUAGAGUGCAGGAGAGGGGAAUGGAAUUCCUAGUGUAGCGGUGAAAUGCGUAGAGAUUAGGAAGAACACCAGUGGCGAAGGCGAUUCUCUGGACUGUAACUGACGCUGAGGCACGAAAGCGUGGGUAGCAAACAGGAUUAGAUACCCUGGUAGUCCACGCCGUAAACGAUGAGUACUAGGUGUAGGAGGUAUCGACCCCUUCUGUGCCGCAGUAAACACAUUAAGUACUCCGCCCGGGAAGUACGAUCGCAAGAUUAAAACUCUAAAGUGAAUUGAC